rnacentral:lncRNA from 10 species
GCCGGGCAUGGUGGUGCAUGUCUGUAAUCCCAGCUACUCGAGAGGCUGAGGCUGGAGAAUGCUUUAACCUGGAAGGUGGAGGUUGCAGCAAGCCGAGAUCAUGCCACUGCACUCCAGCCUGGGCAACAGAGCGAGAUCCUGUCUUAAAAAAAAAAAAUGAAAGAAAGAAAGAAAAUAAAAGGUAGCGUAAAAAUAUAGUAUUAUAAUUUUUUUUUUUUCAGAUGGAGUCUCACUCUGUCGCCCAGGCUGGAGUGCAAUGAUGCAAUCUUGGCUCACUGCAACCUCCACCUCCCGGGUU